GGGCCAGCUAUCAAGGCAAUUACUCCCUUCGCUCAAAACCCAACAGCUGCUUUGAACUCGAGAGUGGAGGGUAUAUAUUAUAGCAGAGAUCCACCGACUGAGAUCAAUCCUCCAUAGGAGUGCGCACUUAGACACCACCCUCUCAGCCAGCUGUGCAAGUAAAGCCUAUGCUUGACAUACAUAACUAACAACCUCGACAUAGAAGAGUGGGGGAGAUUCCUCCUAUGAUGAAAGCCAGAACAUGGCUAAUGUCCUGUAGAAUUAGGCCUGAUAAACAUAGA
rnacentral:lncRNA from 1 species